rnacentral:tRNA from 1 species
AAAAUUUAGUUAAAAAAAUAACAUUGGCCUGUCGCGCUAAAAUUAUCCAUAAAUAAUUUUUA